rnacentral:lncRNA from 1 species
AGGUUUGGAUCAUACUGAUGCUGCUGUUAAGUGCUUCAGUAGUUACUGUAAAAACAAUGAUGGUUGCAGACAGGGAUGUCUCGACCAUGGAUGUGGCUCCAAACAUUUCUGUUCUAUCAACGAAAAGAAAUGUUGCUGUGAUGGUUGUAUGUCAGAAUAACAACAGGAAAAUUUCAAAUCAGAACAUUUUCUGAAGUGCAGAGAACGUGUUUAUUUAUGCAUAUUGAAUCUGUUAUAUUAAUCUACGAUCUAAUAAUAAAC